rnacentral:pre_miRNA from 1 species
AUGUAGAGCAAUAUGUCUUUAAGUAGAAGAAAAUUAUUCUUUAAAAAAAGAGAAUCCUAGGUUGUUUUCCCUGUAAAUCCAGUUGUUUAAA